UCAACCUUUCCAUUCCCUUCUCUCUCACAAUCUUCUCUCUCACAACUCACACAUCUAACAAAACUUCAUCAGACCUUCUCUCUCGGCGACUCAAGAAUAUCAUGCCCUAGAUCUGCCUCUGAAUCGUUUAUCUAACAACAAAUCUCACAUAUUUUCGAGCUUUUUCUUUCUCAAACACAGUGGUGGUGAUAACCCAGACGAUAGAAGAUGUCGGAUAUGGUGGUCGUGGGUGGAAACCUAGACGGCUGCGGAGGGUGCCUGUAUUUUCUUUCAGCAAUCUUCUGUGGAGUUUGGGUGGCUUUUUUGUCAAGAUCGACUGAUCUGCCGUUGAGUUCUUCGUGUAGGGUGCACCGGAAUAACCAGAUGUGUAUCACCUGGAAUGAACAAGCUGGAUAACCAGUCGAUCUCUAAAAAUUUUCAGCAAGGAGUUGAAGAUGAUGCAAGCUGCUGUUUUAGUUGGUGGUGGUUAGCAACGAUAGAGAUGGUGGUGGUCUGCGGCUUGUGGUCGUAAUGGUUAGCGUCAACAGAUUCUGGUGACCCAACCUAGGGUUUUCGACCAGAUUCUGGUAGCCCUAUCUAGGGUUCUGACCAUAACACUAAUCCGGUGAAAGUUGUAGAUCUGGUCAGUAAGGGAAUGACAACGAAUUUCGUGUUGUGUGAAGAAGUGAAGUCCAAACAUCCCAGAGUCACAUAUGCUGAUCUCUAUCAGGAUUCAAACGUGUCGCCUAAUGAAGGAUGUCUUCCUGAUGCCAAGCAAGGCCCAUCCCAUCUCCGUGAAAAAAUGUCGUUAAGAAUCAUAGUCCAAGCUCUUUUCUUCGAGCAGUUGCAGCUCAGGACCUCUAUCGCCGGCUGUUUCUUGGUCUCCAACAAUCUUGCAGACGGGUCAAGACAGUUUAGAAGCGGGUUAGGUGCAGCAUCACAGGAGGGCGGUUGGAACACGGUUGGAACGCAGCGUUGAUACUACUGCUCCUACGUUUGCCACCACCGGUGUCAUCUUCACGAAUAGGUACCGAGACCACUUUCUUCUUCCUUACAAACUUUGUUUUGUAAGUGGGAUAUGGCUUUUGCAGCGAUAAGCCCAUUCUGGCAGUAGAAAACUUACCCAUUUUGACCCAUUACCCAACACUCUCGACAUGCCCCUUUUGCCACCUCUAACCAAAUUAUUUAUAUGAUAGUUUUACAGCUAUUGACUUUUUUCUUAUUUUUCAUGUGGCUGUCACACCUGAGGCUUGAAUGAUGGAUGAGGUUGUAAAAGAUGAUGUACCAAUGUUAUCAGCUACAAAUUGGCCAUCCGAUAGACACGAUUAUAAACCAAAUCAGAAAUUCUCAAACACGAACAGAAUUGUUUCGAUAUUCAUUCCAGUGCCCUCCGUUUAAAUGAGUUCUGGUUCAACAAAUCGCAUUGACCUUACCAGUCCCGUGCAGACUGAGAAAACAAUGUUAGAAGUGCCUGUGGAACAAGAAAACGUUAAACAUAAUAAAAGACAAGGGGGAGUUUGCAACGCCGCAGCCAGCGCAAAUGCAGCGAACGCAGCCCCAUCGGCUCAGCGAGCACACCCGCAACAGUUCAGCGAGCGUAGCCGUAGCGAACGCAGCUGCAACAGCGCAACGAGCGCAACUGCAGCGAACGCAGCCGCAUCUGUAUCACCAAGCACAACCCCAGCGGGCCCGACGCAACGCCGCAUCCAGCGCAACCGCAACGGCUCGGCGAGCGCAAUCGCACUGAGCACAACCCCUAAGGCGGAGAGACUGUUGAAAAAGUCAACGCAGUGACAAGGAUUGUUGCAGCAGCCGAAGUGGUAGAGAACCUAGAAGAGGGAGAUACGAUGAUGAUGAGGGUCGAAGUUGGUCUCCUAACAGGCAGAGAGACUGUAGCAAAAUUCAAGGCAGGGGGACAGGGAUUGUUAUAGCAGCUGAAGUUGUAGGUCCCUCUCGGAGGAUCGAGAACAAACCUAUACCUUGUUAUACCAACCCACUAGCGAGUGCGGAAUCCAAGCUAGUAGGCAAACCGGGAUGAGACAAGUAUAA